AGCGUGUCUAAAACAUGACGGUUUGCACAAAUUGCAAAAUAACCCUAAUUGAAAAGAAAAACUUGUCAAGUUUUGAAAUUGUGUCGUACGUUUAAAACUCUUAGUUUUCGUUAAUGUUUCUUCCAAGGUUUCAUACGCUCAAACUGCUCAACAAUCACAAUUCCAUAUACAAGAACAAGCAAUCAUAUUAAACUCCAUCAAAAGUGUUUUAAUUCAAGAAUUCAUUGUUGAAGUUAGCAAACUGACUUGUCGAACGCCAGAUUUACAACCAGAAUUUUCCAAAGCUAUGUUUGCUUAUACUGGGAUAGUAAGCACAAGGCUGACAGGAUACGCAAGUAAAGAUCAAAUCUAACUCCCUGAAAAUUCAAUCAUUUAUUUUUAAAUUCAAACGAUUAAUAUUAUCCAACGUAUGUCAUAUAAUUCUGCACUCACAGUCAUUCUUAAAGAAUUUGCUAGAUGAAAUAUUAGACCCAUCUCCCAGAUCAUCUUCAUUGAUGCAGGCUUCAAUGAUUCAGGAUACACAAACAUCUUGAGUUUUUGUUGUCAGAUAUAUCCAAUCCAAAGAUAUUCCAAACAUACCUAAAUCUAUCAAAAUAAAUUAUGAUAAUACAUCUUAUUGGAUAUAUAUAUCAGCAGAAAAAGUAGCCUGCUUCUUAUGCAGAGAAACAGAGUCAUGCUACUAAAUUCUGCAAAGACUUUGAGUCCCAGCCACUGCUUUUACAUAGCUUUAGUUCAUGUUACAAUGAAAUAGUUAAUGAUCUGAACAGCCAAAAUCUUUUUGUGUCUUAUCCCCAUUCCAGAUUUCUACUACAUUGUUAUCCUAGAUAUAUAAACUGGAAGCUUGUCUUCAAAAUGCAUCAAGAGCCAGCUUAAUGAUUCCAGUUCUCCAACUCUUAGUAAUUUGAAUGCUAUCAAACAUGAUAGUAGACGUAAAGCAGUUGUUCACACCAAAGAAAUUAAGAAAUGCAAAAUGGCUAAUAGAGCAGAGAUUUUGCUAGAAGAAAUCUCUUUGCUACUGCUGCCUGCCAAGGGCUACAUCUGGGAUUCCACUUAAAACCAUCCAGUGAACUUUAAAGUUGUCUACAGUUCCUACUGUACACAUACAAUAAUCGUGGAAGCGGUGUUAAACCACACCAUCUCUAAUAAAGAUGUUUUCUUCUUCUUUACAGAGUGUAAGAUAAAAAUCCGCAAGAAUUGUCAAAUGCCUCAACAAUUCCUAUCCAAAAGAUGCUGAUUCAUAGAGUUCAGGAAAAAUGGAACCCAUUCAAAGGUGGUGGAAUUUCUUAUCCAUGACAACGUGGUUUUUAGGCAAGUUAUUAACAUCAAAUUUCCUGACAUCUCAGUUGAGUUAUGUGGUCUUUGUUUAAGUAAUGUAAAGCCAGAACUGCAUAUACUUGUCUGCUAUAAGCUCCAGGCCUCACUCUCACACAAGAUCAGUGGGAUCUAAUUGUUCAAAAUAUUGACAUUAAACGCAACUGAGCAGACUUUAAUGCUCAUCAUCCUAAUUGGAAUUGUAAAUAUACAAAUAGCAAUCGUAGAAGAUUUCAUAAUACCUUGGUAACCGCUGAUCUAAUACACAAUGAUAACUCUUACACAUAUAUUAACAAAAAUUUUAAAUUCAAUGUGGAUCUCUUAUUCUCUACUUUGAAUAUUUUUCACAAAAUUGAUACUGUUGUUUUAUGAUGAGACCUAGGGUUCUGAUCACUUUCCUAUUUGUUUUAAUAUAAGAGAAUCAUUAUAUAGAUUUACUAAUUCUUCACUAAUGAUUAAGUUCUGCCUCUCAAUCGCAAAUACAAAUUUUUCAAUAACUUUUAGCUACUGAACGCUACUAUAGAGGCUUUCGGGUAUGUUACCUUUUUGAACGUCACUAUAGUGGUUUUCAUGGAUGUCAUAUUUCUAAACCGAAGAGACUGAAAACCGAAAUAUUUUCAGCUUUAGGUAUUAUAUCAGUAUUGGCUUUUAUAUUAUCGUAAUAAUAUACCGGUUUUAAUACUGGUAUAUACCGAUAUGGUAUCGCUUUACUGACGAAAACACAUUUUUCAUUUUCUACGUACAGUAACUCUUAUUAAUAUU